rnacentral:rRNA from 1 species
GGGUUGUGAGGUUAAGCGACUAAGCGUACACGGUGGAUGCCCUGGCAGUCAGAGGCGAUGAAGGACGUGCUAAUCUGCGAAAAGCGUCGGUAAGGUGAUAUGAACCGUUAUAACCGGCGAUGUCCGAAUGGGGAAACCCAGUGUGAUUCGUCACACUAUCGUUAACUGAAUACAUAGGUUAACGAGGCGAACCGGGGGAACUGAAACAUCUAAGUACCCCGAGGAAAAGAAAUCAACCGAGAUUCCCCCAGUAGCGGCGAGCGAACGGGGAGCAGCCCAGAGUCUGAAUCAGCUUGUGUGUUAGUGGAACGGUCUGGAAAGUCCGACGGUACAGGGUGAUAGUCCCGUACACCAAAAUGCACAGGUUGUGAACUCGAAGAGUAGGGCGGGACACGUGGUAUCCUGUCUGAAUAUGGGGGGACCAUCCUCCAAGGCUAAAUACUCCUGACUGACCGAUAGUGAACCAGUACCGUGAGGGAAAGGCGAAAAGAACCCCGGCGAGGGGAGUGAAAAAGAACCUGAAACCGUGUACGUACAAGCAGUGGGAGCACCUUCGGGUGUGACUGCGUACCUUUUGUAUAAUGGGUCAGCGACUUAUAUUCUGUAGCAAGGUUAACCGUAUAGGGGAGCCGCAGGGAAACCGAGUCUUAACUGGGCGUUAAGUUGCAGGGUAUAGACCCGAAACCCGGUGAUCUAGCCAUGGGCAGGUUGAAGGUUGGGUAACACUAACUGGAGGACCGAACCGACUAAUGUUGAAAAAUUAGCGGAUGACUUGUGGCUGGGGGUGAAAGGCCAAUCAAACCGGGAGAUAGCUGGUUCUCCCCGAAAGCUAUUUAGGUAGCGCCUCGUGAAUUCAUCUUCGGGGGUAGAGCACUGUUUCGGCUAGGGGGUCAUCCCGACUUACCAACCCGAUGCAAACUACGAAUACCGAAGAAUGUUAUCACGGGAGACACACGGCGGGUGCUAACGUCCGUCGUGAAGAGGGAAACAACCCAGACCGCCAGCUAAGGUCCCAAAGUCAUGGUUAAGUGGGAAACGAUGUGGGAAGGCACAGACAGCCAGGAUGUUGGCUUAGAAGCAGCCAUCAUUUAAAGAAAGCGUAAUAGCUCACUGGUCGAGUCGGCCUGCGCGGAAGAUGUAACGGGGCUAAACCAUGCACCGAAGCUGCGGCAGCGACACUAUGUGUUGUUGGGUAGGGGAGCGUUCUGUAAGCCUGCGAAGGUGUGCUGUGAGGCAUGCUGGAGGUAUCAGAAGUGCGAAUGCUGACAUAAGUAACGAUAAAGCGGGUGAAAAGCCCGCUCGCCGGAAGACCAAGGGUUCCUGUCCAACGUUAAUCGGGGCAGGGUGAGUCGACCCCUAAGGCGAGGCCGAAAGGCGUAGUCGAUGGGAAACAGGUUAAUAUUCCUGUACUUGGUGUUACUGCGAAGGGGGGACGGAGAAGGCUAUGUUAGCCGGGCGACGGUUGUCCCGGUUUAAGCAUGUAGGCUGGUUGUCCAGGCAAAUCCGGAUAAUCAAGGCUGAGGUGUGAUGACGAGGCACUACGGUGCUGAAGUAACAAAUGCCCUGCUUCCAGGAAAAGCCUCUAAGCAUCAGGUAACAUCAAAUCGUACCCCAAACCGACACAGGUGGUCAGGUAGAGAAUACCAAGGCGCUUGAGAGAACUCGGGUGAAGGAACUAGGCAAAAUGGUGCCGUAACUUCGGGAGAAGGCACGCUGGUGUGUAGGUGAAGUCCCUGCGGAUGGAGCUGAGACCAGUCGAAGAUACCAGCUGGCUGCAACUGUUUAUUAAAAACACAGCACUGUGCAAACACGAAAGUGGACGUAUACGGUGUGACGCCUGCCCGGUGCCGGAAGGUUAAUUGAUGGGGUUAUCCGUAAGGAGAAGCUCUUGAUCGAAGCCCCGGUAAACGGCGGCCGUAACUAUAACGGUCCUAAGGUAGCGAAAUUCCUUGUCGGGUAAGUUCCGACCUGCACGAAUGGCGUAAUGAUGGCCAGGCUGUCUCCACCCGAGACUCAGUGAAAUUGAACUCGCUGUGAAGAUGCAGUGUACCCGCGGCAAGACGGAAAGACCCCGUGAACCUUUACUAUAGCUUGACACUGAACAUUGAGCCUUGAUGUGUAGGAUAGGUGGGAGGCUUUGAAGCGUGGACGCCAGUCUGCGUGGAGCCAACCUUGAAAUACCACCCUUUAAUGUUUGAUGUUCUAACGUUGGCCCCUGACCGGGGUUGCGGACAGUGUCUGGUGGGUAGUUUGACUGGGGCGGUCUCCUCCCAAAGCGUAACGGAGGAGCACGAAGGUUAGCUAAUCCUGGUCGGACAUCAGGAGGUUAGUGCAAUGGCAUAAGCUAGCUUGACUGCGAGCGUGACGGCGCGAGCAGGUGCGAAAGCAGGUCAUAGUGAUCCGGUGGUUCUGAAUGGAAGGGCCAUCGCUCAACGGAUAAAAGGUACUCCGGGGAUAACAGGCUGAUACCGCCCAAGAGUUCAUAUCGACGGCGGUGUUUGGCACCUCGAUGUCGGCUCAUCACAUCCUGGGGCUGAAGUAGGUCCCAAGGGUAUGGCUGUUCGCCAUUUAAAGUGGUACGCGAGCUGGGUUUAGAACGUCGUGAGACAGUUCGGUCCCUAUCUGCCGUGGGCGCUGGAGAAUUGAGGGGGGCUGCUCCUAGUACGAGAGGACCGGAGUGGACGCAUCACUGGUGUUCGGGUUGUCAUGCCAAUGGCACUGCCCGGUAGCUAAAUGCGGAAGAGAUAAGUGCUGAAAGCAUCUAAGCACGAAACUUGCCCCGAGAUGAGUUCUCCCUGAGACUUUAAGUCUCCUGAAGGAACGUU